rnacentral:rRNA from 1 species
CCAACAGGGAUUGCCUCAGUAACGGCGAGUGAAGCGGCAAGAGCUCAACUUUGGAAUCGCUCCGGCGAGUUGUAGUCUGGAGGUGGCCACCACGAGGUGUUCUAGCAGCAGGCAAGUCCUUUGGAACAAGGCGCCAGCGAGGGUGACAGCCCCGUACCUGCUUUUGCUAGUGCUUCCUGUGGCCCACCGACGAGUCGAGUUGUUUGGGAAUGCAGCUCUAAGUGGGUGGUAAAUUCCAUCUAAGGCUAAAUAUUGGCGAGAGACCGAUAGCGAACAAGUACAGUGAUGGAAAGAUGAAAAGCACUUUGAAAAGAGAGUGAAACAGUACGUGAAAUUGUUGAAAGGGAAGGGCUUGCACCCAGACACGGUUUCGGCCGGGCCAGCAUCAAGUAGAACGGGGUUAAAAGACCUGGGGAAUGUAGCUACCUCUUGGUAGUGUUAUAGCCCUUGGGUGAUGACCCCUGUUUUGCUUGAGGACAGCGGUCUCUAGGAUGCUGGCGCAAUGGUUGCAAGCCACCCGUCUUGAA